UAGAUUUACAAGCAAAUUUUUCACAAGAUUAUUAGGUCCCUUUUCCUACUAGAAUGGUACCUUGCUUUCCUUUAAAUAGUAUUCCCUGGUAAUUUGUAAUUAAUUCUCUGCUUCUAAUGUAUCUCUUUGUUCUAUCUACAUAUCUGAGUGUCUGAAAACUGUUUAACAGGUUGGUAUGUUCUUCUGAUUCCCUUCUUUUAUGUGUUAAUAAAAAUUGUAAAAAUAGUGUCAUACCAUUCUAACAAAUCUUGCUGUCAGAAACGAAAAGGGAUAGCUUGCUUGUGGUAUAUUUUGAUUCCUCCAGAGUUUUCUCUAGAUGGAGAUUUUUAGCUAUUGUCUGUGAGUGUAGGUAGCUCUAGAACUAGAGAACACUGAAGAGUAAUUGAACAAUACAGCAUAUGAAUGCUGUGUCCAGUAAAACCUCUUAAGUGUUGAGGUCAUAUUUCAGUUUAAUCUGAAGUAACAACAAUAUUGAAGUGUUGUAUGAUGCAUGACCAAAAAGUUCCAUUCUUUAUGACUUGGUAGUGUUCCUGAAAUUUUCAGUAUUUUUUUUUUGUUUACUUCUUGGACUACUGCUUCUUUCACUAUCUGUUCUGUCAGAGCCAAAACACAGACUUUUACCAGAAGCCUGGAAAUGCAAGAAAGCUUUUCCUUAAAAAAAAGUAAUUUGCAGAUCAGAAGAGUUGUUUUCCCAGCAACUUGAAACUACUGCUUUCUGGAUAUAUUAAGUUUUGGAUGUUUGUUCUGUUUGCUGAAUUCCUGAAUGACCUAACAAUUACUUGUUUUGGGGGGAGGGGUGGGGGGAAUCUACUUGUCUUAGUUUUCCAUCUUAUUUAGGAAAAAAUAGUUCUUGUACAUGACGGUGUUCGUGGAAGAGCACACACGGAAAGUAGUUGUGUUAGUCACUGCUUCUAAGUUAGCACAGAAGGCUCCCAUGUUGAAUCAGGGGGAUAUGUCAGCUGCAUGUCUGGGUAUUUUUAGUGCUCUUCUUGGGUUCUAACUGGUGAUGUCUUAUCCUCACAGUUAAAAUUCAGAUGAUUCCUGAACUAGCUGUUUAUCUUAUCCUCAUAGUAAAUGAGAAUAACAAAUGUUCCUUUAUAGAAGAAUGCAUGUAUUUGACUUCCUUGUUAGAAACAGUCUGUUGUCCUAAUGAUGUAGGUAAGCUUCAGUAAAGCUAAAAAGAUGUGUGACAGCAGCUCUUGAAAGGGUCACUCUGUGCUCUAAUCAUUUCAGGAUUUAGAUGUGUAUUGAUCUUUAAGAAAAUUGAGGCUCCUUCUGUAGCCUUUGGGAGGGGAUGUACAGCUCUGCUAACUCCUUACCACAGAAUUCAACUAUAUGGGGCUUUGUUAACUUUGUGUGACCUAAUUAUUCUAUGCAUAUAUGGGCCACAAACCUUUGAUACUUUGUUUUGAGUUCAACCUAUGGGAAAUUGCUGUUAACCCUUUUUUCAGUGUAAGUCAUUAUGUAGCCAAUGUAUGCACAAAUUUGAUGUUAUAUUCUGAUAUUCUUGAAUUUUGGAGAGCAGUUUUUAAAGAUCUGGUCAGGACUAGAUUCUUUUCUCUAUACUUAUAUUAGGCUGCUUAGGGGUAAGUGCUUUGUUUAAGGUUUGUAUUUCAAUAUGCUGCUACCAAGUCUAUAGAGUAGCUAUUUUUGGGAGACUUAAUUACAUAUUACUAAGGAGAUAAAGAUUCCUGAGUUAAGUAAAAGACAUCUUUCAUCUUUACAGGUACCCUGAAUUUAAAAAGUAGAACAAGGAGAAUCCUCUCUCUGUAUAUGUGUAUGUAUACAUAUACUGGAUCAUUAAAGGGAACUGACACUGUUACUGUUUGACCAGUGACUGGAGUACAUUUCGCAUGGGAAGUCACCAUGUUUGGCCGUGUGAAAUCUGUCCAGCUCAUAACUAGUUCUUGAUAUUUGUAUAUAUCUACAGAAAGAGUAUUCCUAUAAAGCGUGUACAUUUUUACUACUAUUAUCAGCCUGAAUAUUAAAAUCAUCUGAUAACAAGCGAUCUUGGGAGGUAUUUCUCAAGGUGAAUGCUGCAGUUCAUUGGCAGAAGCACGGAAGAAAUUAGUGCAGCUACUUCAUGCAUUCUGUUGCUGGUCUCUGGCCACGUAGGAGGCUUAAUUCUCAGAUCUAUUUUUCUGCUGUCUUCCAAGAGAAUUGAAAUGUCAUUGCUUAAAACUCAUGCUUUCAGAAUAAAAUGCACAGCCUCCCAAAAUACUGUAUUGACUGAGUAGUUCACCCACUUUAAGCCAGACUUGUAAAGAAUUCAAGCCAAUUAAGCUGGCUCAGAUCUCACUUUUUUUAAGACUCCUCCAUUCCAGAGCUAGAAUCAAUGUCAAGUGUUCCUGUUGACUUUCUGGGAACUAUAAAAAAAAUUAAAAUACUGUUUUCUUCACUAAUAGCAAUAGACUGACACUUAUGACUAUCUUGGAGUUGGAUUUUAAAGCCCUCUGUGACUUGCGAAGAUUUCAUUUUCGGGUUUAAAAAAAACAGUAUGUUGCUUAAGUAACCAAAUAACAAAAGCACAUUGGCAAUGCAGGAUACUUCACAGCUUGGCACUGAGUGCUUUUUUUACAUGGUGACAUGUGCAGAGAUUCUCAGACAAAAAUGAAUCAUGAAGCAAAUGAUUUUUUCAUUUACAGAGAGCAUUGGGGAAAAAUAGAGCUGCAAAAUACCAAAAGAUGUUUCCCACAGGAGAAGUAGAAGAAAUUAUAUUAGGGUAUUCUUCAGCAGAAGACUCUUAAUGUAUUGUGGAAAUUUCUGCUGGCCUACAGCAUGGCUUCUCUAGAGGUCUAAUCUGAGCAGAUGCAUGUCAUCAGCUCCAUAUAGCCAAGAGCUUGUCCUGCCUGCAAUAAUAAGACCUGCAGAGGAGCAGAGUGUGAGUUCAAGUGUUUACACUGCCUCUGGUUGUGCACAACAAAAGUUCUUCUGCUUGUGACAUACCCUGUGGACAUACAGUUAAAACCUAACCUGCUAGAAAGUUACUAAAAUGUGCGAAGCACCUGUGAGACAGCUCAUUGAGUGAGUCAUAUCCUUAAUGCAGCUCUAGGAUGAAGAAUAAUAAAGUAAUGUGUAAGAAAGAAUACUUGUUGUAUACUGAAGUGAAAGUGAGUUAGUCAAAGUGCUGCAGAACUUGAGCAUCUGCAGCAUAACUAGAAUUUAAAAUGCAGUCACAGAUUCACUUUUUUUCAAACAUCAAAAAUUCAAGUCUUGUGUAUUCUGCAGGUACCAAAAAGUGAUUUUGGGAUUCAGACAGACACAAACGCUAUUCCUGUCAAAAAUUUACUCAUGGAAGAAUGUCCAUCUUUAAUUCAAUCAAACGUCCGAGAUUGUUCAUAUACAUAUCUUUCUUGGGGUACUUUUCAUGGCAUCAGGUUGCCAGUGGUUUAUUUCAGCACCUUCCUUUUUUUUUUUCUCUUUCUUUCUCAUCCUCUUCCUUCAGUGUACCAUCACCCACCCUUCAUCUCUCUAGUUUAUUGCAAACUUCAGUUUCCCCUUCAGAAUAUAACACUCAAUAAUUUUUUUUUUCCCCUUCCAUUUUCUCCAAGCUCUGAUAAAUCCAGCCUGACCUCCCACUCCCACUUGCCUUGAGGGCUUCUGCACUGCACAAGGCAACCCAGAGACUCCAUGCAGAUUGCUUAGGGAUGAGUCUGGCAUUCCCCAGGAUGAAGCAUCACCACUUGAUCUGUUGGCCCCAUGUUUUCCAGGCCCCAUCCCCACUGAACAACAUCAAUGGACAAUGAACCUGAUAAAGCCAAAAGGCAAAGGGUUGGAAGGGCUCUUACUUGAAAACAGCACAAAGCUAGAACUUCAAAUAGAACUGGCAGGAUGUGUGUUUGCAAUCCCAAAUUUUAUCUGAAGGUGCAUUUCUACAACAUCAGAAGAUAAACAGCACUGGAACCUUGUAGAACUUUCCAGUCUGCCUUCAGACUGAGAUUUGCUAAUGGAGUAUGUUGCUAGAAGUAGAAAAAGGUUUUCAGCAGGACUGAAUUAAACUGAAAACUUGCUACAGUUCUUCUGUGGUGGGAAGACAGUCUUGGCUAUGUUUGCAUCAGCCUGGUUAAUGAGAAGUCAAGUUUUGUCAGCACUGAAGAAUGGAGCUACAAAUUUAGAAACUAACCACAACUUUUUGGAUGCAAACUGAUUGACAGGGCUGGCAGGGUUCUUCAUGGCCUUGACACCUAGCAGGACUUUCCCUGAAUGAAAGAAAGCCUGGACUCUGGGAUACAACUAAGGUGUACCUGUAUUCUGUCUCCCAGAAUUUUUUUUUAACUUCCUCUUUCAUUUCGGCAAGCAUUAUUCAUCAGACUAAAAAGCCCUCUUCUGCAGUAUGAAUUUACCCAUGUUCAAAGCUUGCAAAGG